AAUCUACAUUGUGCGAUUCGCUAAAUUCGGUUUCUUACUCACUCACGUCCUACCCGAUCCGGCACCCGUUUUUCUUAUCACGGCGCACUUCAAGUUGGCGGAGAUCGUUCAACCAAAUCGCGUGAACAGUAACAAUCAACAAUAAAUAGGAGAAGAAGAAAGUAAAUCAUAGAAAACUGAUAAGUAUAAGUAUAACAGAAGUAAAUCAAAUGAAUGAGGCAAAGUAUAGCCAAAAACAUCGGAUUUUAAUACCAAAUAGGCACCAUGCAUUGGCACAAAAUAAACAAAGGAGAAGAAGAUCACCACAAAGGAAAAAGUGACAACCAGAAGAACGACUAGAAAUAAGAUGGAACUAGAUUAAAAUGCUGAACCAGCAGAAAACACCUCCUGAGCCACCAAGAUAAUACAGGUUAAGAAUUGAUUAAAACUUCUAUUACAUAUAACCAAACCACCUUGCAAUGAACAGAAAAUUUUACCAACCUAUCAUGAAAGAAUACCAUACCUCCACAAAAG